UGAGGUCAGACUCUGCUCUGCUCCCGGAGAGAAGCCAUGCUCAGCUCUCCCGGGUAGACGCGAUAGCUCUGCUCUCUGAGGCACACGCGAUGAAGAUAGAUGUAGGCUAGAAUCUUCCCGGGGCACACUACAACACUGUUUUACACGAUGCUGGAAGACUGAACCCAGUCCCUCGCAAGCACUCCACCAGCUAAACCAUUCCCAGGCCUAGGACUCGAACUUCUCAAGUCAGCUCUACCCAGUCAAGACAAGAGGUCGGAAAGAGAGGCCAGAAGAGGGUGUCGAAGCUUCUGGAGUUAUAGAUGGUUAUGAGCUAUCUGAUGUGGAUACUGGAAUGUAAACCCGGGUCCUCUGCAAGAGCAGCAAGCGUUCUUAACCACUGAGCCAUCUCUCCAGCCUCCCACUUCAUUUUGGAAUAGGGUCUCUCGCUGAACCUGGAGCUCUCCAUUUUGACUAGAUUGGCUGGCUCGUGAGCAUUCUUCCCACUGAACCGUCUCCCUUGCCCCACAGUUUCUUGGCCGUGACUAAACGCUCUGAACUUACAUGGUCAUGGUAGCUGCAAAACUGCGAAUUUACUGAAGGAGGAAGCAGAUAGAUCUCUGAAGUCAAGGCCAGCCUGGUCUACAAAGCAAGUUCCAGGACAGCCAGGACUGUUACACAGAGAAACCCUGUCUUGAAAAACCAAAAUGGAUAAAUAAAAGCUUGAAGAGCCUGCAUUAGAGUUUGUGGCCUGCUCUGCCCCUCCUCACCCCUUCUCCAUGACUCAGCCAUGGGAGGAGAUUCAGGGCAGCAUCGUAGGGAGCCUGGAAGCUAAACCGUGCUCCUCCCACAAAGACACGAAGGAAAUGAGGCCGGAGUCCUGUGUUGGAAACCCAGUUUUUAUAGGCUGCAGGUCAGUCAUCCAAGGUGUCAACACCUCUUCCUGGAACCAAGCAAACUGGAGGAAAGAAAUGACCUCUAAGCAAAUGACGGCUUAUAAUGGCAGUAUCUCACGGUGACAAGAGGAACAUGACAGAAAUACGCUGGGAGCACAAUGGUCCUUGCAAUCACAGAUGGCACUAGGGAAGCCGGGGACUUUAAACACUGAGCGUUGUCUUUUCAAGGGAAGAGUUAUCUGUCUUCUGCCCAGAAGCCUGGGACUGGAGGUAGCUAACAACCAAAGUGAUCUUCGCACUAUCUGCAGGGCCAGGCCAUACCUGUCCCCACCAUCCCCAUUUCCCAACCCCCCACCCCACCCCCACGCUCCCACAACCAGGACUGGAUGGAAGUGGCUAAAAGUCCAGAUAACCUCUGAGCUAGCUGCAGGACAGAGACCACACCAGAUCCUCCUGCUUAAGAUAACACGCGUUUUCCUAGCCUAUCAUUAGAACCCAUCUUUGUGGAAGAGGUGGCGCCCUUUGAGAAGAGUUCCAAUGUAAUUGCGCCUCCUUGUGCCCAGGGGAUUGUGUUACACCAGGAAACUGUUUUCCAAAUUGUGCUGUACUUAAAUAUGCCUACAAUAAACCGCCUGGAGUCAGACUCUGGGAGUUUGAUCCAGCCCCAGCUACUGA